CAAAGAGAAACUUUUUGGAUUCACCAACUAAAAACAUUAGAACCCAUGGGAUUAAAUGUAGAUAUUGAUUUAGUUUGUUUUUUAUAAAUCAUAUCAUGUUUUUUUGGUCUGUCUGCAUGUUUUUAUGUCUUAUUAUAACGAUAUCUGGUUUUGUUUACCCUUUCUUUCUUUUCUACUUUUUGUAGAGAUAUUUUCUUACCAUUCAUCAUAUAUUCGUAAUAAAAUUACGGAUUUACAUCCAUCUUUUUAUACUGUUAAGGGUAUAUGAUUUGGAUUAACAAAAACUGACACACUGAGACAUUGUUCGUGGUAGAUAUGUG